GAUGAACGCUGGCGGCGUGCCUAAUACAUGCAAGUCGAGCGAACAGACGAGGAGCUUGCUCCUCUGACGUUAGCGGCGGACGGGUGAGUAACACGUGGAUAACCUACCUAUAAUACUGGGAUAACUUCGGGAAACCGGAGCUAAUACCGGAUAAUAUAUUGAACCGCAUGGUUCAAUAGUGAAAGACGGUUUUGCUGUCACUUAUAGAUGGAUCCGCGCCGCAUUAGCUAGUUGGUAAGGUAACGGCUUACCAAGGCAACGAUGCGUAGCCGACCUGAGAGGGUGAUCGGCCACACUGGAACUGAGACACGGUCAAGACUCCUACGGGAGGCAGCAGUAGGGAAUCUUACGCAAUGGGCGAAAGCAUGACGGAGCAACGCCGCGUGAGUGAUGAAGGUCUUCGGAUCGUAAAACUCUGUUAUUAGGGAAGAACAAAUGUGUAAGUAACUAUGCACGUCUUGACGGUACCUAAUCAGAAAGCCACGGCUAACUACGUG
rnacentral:rRNA from 1 species